rnacentral:rRNA from 1 species
UACGGGGGGGGCAAGCGUUGUUCGGAAUUACUGGGCGUAAAGGGCGCGUAGGCGGCCUGCUAAGUCGGACGUGAAAUCCCUCGGCUCAACCGGGGAACUGCGUCCGAUACUGGUGGGCUCGAAUCCGGGAGAGGGAUGUGGAAUUCCAGGUGUAGCGGUGAAAUGCGUAGAUAUCUGCAGGAACACCCGUGGCGAAAGCGGCGCGCUGGACCACUACUGACGCUGAGGAACGAAAGCUAGGGGAGCAAACGGG